AGAGUUUGAUCAUGGCUCAGAUUGAACGCUGGCGGCAGGCUUAACACAUGCAAGUCGAACGGUAACAGGAGAAAGCUUGCUUUCUUGCUGACGAGUGGCGGACGGGUGAGUAAUGCUUGGGAAUCUGGCUUAUGGAGGGGGAUAACUACGGGAAACUGUAGCUAAUACCGCGUAAUAUCGAAAGAUUAAAGUGUGGGACCUUCGGGCCACAUGCCAUAGGAUGAGCCCAAGUGGGAUUAGGUAGUUGGUGAGGUAAAGGCUCACCAAGCCGACGAUCUCUAGCUGGUCUGAGAGGAUGACCAGCCACACUGGAACUGAGACACGGUCCAGACUCCUACGGGAGGCAGCAGUGGGGAAUAUUGCACAAUGGGGGGAACCCUGAUGCAGCCAUGCCGCGUGAAUGAAGAAGGCCUUCGGGUUGUAAAGUUCUUUCGGUGACGAGGAAGGUUAAUAUGUUAAUAGCAUAUUAAAUUGACGUUAAUCACAGAAGAAGCACCGGCUAACUCCGUGCCAGCAGCCGCGGUAAUACGGAGGGUGCGAGCGUUAAUCGGAAUAACUGGGCGUAAAGGGCACGCAGGCGGUGACUUAAGUGAGGUGUGAAAGCCCCGGGCUUAACCUGGGAAUUGCAUUUCAUACUGGGUCGCUAGAGUACUUUAGGGAGGGGUAGAAUUCCACGUGUAGCGGUGAAAUGCGUAGAGAUGUGGAGGAAUACCGAAGGCGAAGGCAGCCCCUUGGGAAUGUACUGACGCUCAUGUGCGAAAGCGUGGGGAGCAAACAGGAUUAGAUACCCUGGUAGUCCACGCUGUAAACG
rnacentral:rRNA from 1 species